GAGUUUGAUCUUGGCUCAGAAUGAACGCUGGCGGCGUGCUUUACACAUGCAAGUCGAGCGAGGCGUGUAGCAAUACACAGUCGAGCGGCGAACGGGUGAGUAACGCGUGGAUUAUCUGCCCUGAGGUGGGGGAUAACCCGGGGAAACUCGGGCUAAUACCGCAUAGGACCGUGAGGUCAAAGGGGGGUCGCAAGAUCUCUCGCCAUAGGAGGAGUCCGCGUCCGAUUAGCUAGUUGGUAGGGUAAUGGCCUACCAAGGCGACGAUCGGUAGCCGGCCUGAGAGGGUGAUCGGCCACACUGGAACUGAGACACGGUCCAGACUCCUACGGGAGGCAGCAGUGGGGAAUUUUGCGCAAUGGGCUAACGCCUGACGCAGCAACGCCGCGUGGAGGAUGAAGGUCCUUGGAUUGUAAACUCCUGUCAGCAGGGAAAAAGCAACUCAACCUAAUACGUUGAGAAGUUGAUUGUACCUGCAGAGGAAGCCCCGGCUAACUCUGUGCCAGCAGCCGCGGU
rnacentral:rRNA from 1 species